rnacentral:rRNA from 1 species
ACGCUGGCGGUGUGCCUAAUACAUGCAAGUCGAGCGCCCAGCACCAAGUUUACAAGUUUUGUAGGUUUGGUGCUGGGAGCGGCAGACGGGUGAGUAACACGUUGGUAUCUGCCCCAUAGUCAGGGAUAAGCCUUAGAAAUAAGGUCUAAUACCGGAUGGUCCCGAAAGGGUAAAGAUUUAUCGCUAUGGGAGGAGCCUGCGGCCUAUCAGCUUGUUGGUGAGGUAAAAGCUUACCAAGGCUAUGACGGGUAACUGGUUUGAGAGGAUGAUCAGUCACAAUGGAACUGAGACACGGUCCAUACUCCUACGGGAGGCAGCAGUAAGGAAUUUUGCGCAAUGGGGGAAACCCUGACGCAGCAACACCGCGUGAAGGAUGACGGCCUUUUGGUUGUAAACUUCUUUUCUGAGAGAAUAAAUAUGAAUGUACCUCAGGAAUAAGCACCGGCUAACUCCGUGCCAGCAGCCGCGGUAAGACGGAGGGUGCAAGCGUUAUCCGGAAUUAUUGGGCGUAAAGAGUCCGUAGGCGUUUUGUUAAGUAGAAUAUCAAAGACCAGAGCUCAACUCUGGGCCGGUGUUCUAAACUGGCGAAAUUGAGUUAUGCAGAGGCAAGUGGAAUUCUGCGUGUAGGGGUUAUAUCCGUAGAUAUACAGAGGAACACCAAAAGCGAAGGCAGCUUGCUGGGCAUAUACUGACGCUCAAGGACGAAAGCGUGGGGAGCGAACAGGAUUAGAUACCCUGGUAGUCCACGCCCUAAACGAUGAUUACUCGUUGUCGGAGGCUUCGACCCCUUCGGUGACUAAGCUAACGCUUUAAGUAAUCCGCCUGGGUAGUACGGCCGCAAGGUUAAAACUCAAAGGAAUAGACGGGGACCCACACAAGCGGUGGAGCAUCUGGUUUAAUUCGACAAUAAGCGAAAAACCUCACCAAGAUUUGACAUCCCGAGAAGAUUGCCGAAAGGUGAUUGUGCCGUAAGGAACUCGGUGACAGGUGCUGCAUGGUUGUCGUCAGCUCGUGCCUUGAGGUGUUCGGCUAAGUCCGUAAAUGAGCGCAACCCAUGUCUUAAGUUGUAUUUUUCUUAAGAGACUGCCGGCUUCAAGUCGGAGGAAGGUAUGGAUGACGUCAAAUCAGCAUGGCCCUUAUAUCUUGGGCUACACAGGUGCUACAAUGGCCGGUACAAAAGGCUGCGAAGGGGUAACCCUGAGCCAAUCCCUAAAACCGGUCCAAGUUCGGAUUGAGGGCUGAAAUUCGCCCUCAUGAAGCUGGAAUCGCUAGUAAACGUGAAUCAGCAUGUCACGUUGAAUACGUCCCUGGGUCUUGUACUCACCGCCCGUCAAGUCAUGAAAGAUGGGGGCGCCCGAAGUCC